rnacentral:rRNA from 1 species
UACGUAGGGUGCAAGCGUUAACCGGAAUUACUGGGCGUAAAGCGUGCGCAGGCGGUUUUGUAAGUUUGUCGUGAAAUCCCCGGGCUCAACCUGGGAAUGGCGAUGAAGACUGCAAGGCUAGAAUCUGGCAGAGGGGGGGUAGAAUUCCACGUGAUAGCAGUGAAAUGCGUAGAGAUGUGGAGGAACACCGAUGGCGAAGGCA